rnacentral:rRNA from 1 species
CACGAAGCUGGAAUCGCUAGUAAUCGCGGAUCAGCACGCCGCGGCGAAUACGUUCCCGGGCCUUGUACACACCGCCCGUCACACCAUGAGAGUCUGUAACACCCAAAGCCGGUGGGAUAACCUUUAUAGGAGUCAGCCGUCUAAGGUAGGACAGAUGAUUAGGGUGAAGUCGUAACAAGGUACC